UAAUACGUAGGGCGCAAGCGUUGCCCGGAAUUAUUGGGCGUAAAGAGCUCGUAGGCGGCUUGUCACGUCGGGUGUGAAAGCCCGGGGCUUAACCCCGGGUCUGCAUUCGAUACGGGCUAGCUAGAGUGUGGUAGGGGAGAUCGGAAUUCCUGGUGUAGCGGUGAAAUGCGCAGAUAUCAGGAGGAACACCGGUGGCGAAGGCGGAUCUCUGGGCCAUUACUGACGCUGAGGAGCGAAAGCGUGGGGAGCGAACAGGAUUAGAUACCCUGGUAGUCCACGCCGUAAACGGUGGGAACUAGGUGUUGGCGACAUUCCACGUCGUCGGUGCCGCAGCUAACGCAUUAAGUUCCCCGCCUGGGGAGUACGGCCGCAAGGC
rnacentral:rRNA from 1 species